rnacentral:misc_RNA from 1 species
GAUGAAGAACGCAGCGAAAUGCGAUAAGUAAUGUGAAUUGCAGAAUUCAGUGAAUCAUCGAAUCUUUGAACGCACAUUGCGCCCGCUAGUAUUCUGGCGGGCAUGCCUGUUCGAGCGUCAUUUCAACCAUCAAGCCCCCCGGGCUUGCGUUGGGGUUCCUGCGGCCGCCCGCAGGCUCCGAAAUGCAGUGGCGGCCUCGCUGGCACACCGAGCGCAGUAAAGCAUCUCGCUCCGGGCGUGGCAGCGGGCGCUGGCCGUGAAACACCAAGACUUUUACAAGGUUGACCUCGGAUCAGGUAGGAAUACCCGCUGAACUUAAGCAUAUCAAUAAGCGGAGGGA